UUGUUAGCCAGGCAAUACAACCAUCAAAAACUAAAAGCAAUAAGAAUGGUUGGUGCGUUUCUACUUAGGUUGUAUCUCCCACGCUAAACUAGUGAGCACGAGUUAGUCAUUUAAGUAUAGCUCCAUCUAAUUAUAGAUUGUGUCCGAACUUCGCGGUUCAAAAUCAGUGUUUCUUUUUCGAACUUCUAUUGGUUGUUAUCGCUUGUACUUUUUUGUCGUACUUUUUUUUAGUCAUAUUUGUUGUAAAUUUUGGAUUUUCUAUUUUUUU
rnacentral:sRNA from 1 species